AUUGAACGCUGGCGGCAUGCCUUACACAUGCAAGUCGAACGGUAACAGGUCUUCGGAUGCUGACGAGUGGCGAACGGGUGAGUAAUACAUCGGAACGUGCCCGAGAGUGGGGGAUAACGAGGCGAAAGCUUCGCUAAUACCGCAUACGAUCUCAGGAUGAAAGCAGGGGACCGCAAGGCCUUGCGCUCACGGAGCGGCCGAUGGCAGAUUAGGUAGUUGGUGGGAUAAAAGCUUACCAAGCCGACGAUCUGUAGCUGGUCUGAGAGGACGACCAGCCACACUGGGACUGAGACACGGCCCAGACUCCUACGGGAGGCAGCAGUGGGGAAUGUUGGACAAUGGGCGCAAGCCUGAUCCAGCCAUGCCGCGUGCAGGAUGAAGGCCUUCGGGUUGUAAACUGCUUUUGUACGGAACGAAAAGACUCUGGUUAAUACCUGGGGUCCAUGACGGUACCGUAAGAAUAAGCACCGGCUAACUACGUGCCAGCAGCCGCGGUAACAC
rnacentral:rRNA from 1 species